CCUUUCUGCAUAGAAUUAGUCUUGGUGUCAGCUCAAUUACAGAAACUAGAUUUUGAAAUUCGUAAUUUCGUGGCAUUUGAGGAUGCAAUUAGUAGAUGGCCAAAAAUAUUUCCUGGAAUCCAAUGCAUUUGGAAUCAAUACAUGGGUGUUAUGUGAAAGUGACAAAAAAAUUAUGUCUAAUAGUGCUUAAUUUGUUAAUUGCAGGUUGGUCAUGUUGAUUAUGGAAAAUCAACACUAUUGGGUGAAUUUUUUAGUAUAGAAAAGGUUAUGGAUACAUUUUUCUGCUGCAUAUGUUUUCCGCAGCUCCAAUCAACACUGUAUGUAAGCUGCAUAUGUUUCCCGCAGCUCCAAUCAACACUGUAUGUAAGCUGCAAUCAACAUUAUAUGUGAAGUUUAUUCUUUGAAGACUGAUGCAGAUAAAUUAUACAGAAAGCUUAAUAAUCUAAAACAAAAAAAUGAUGCUCCUGAAAGGUAGACGCGUGAAGGGUGUUUGGGACUUUUUGGACGUAAAAUUAAUAUUUUAGAUCCUAAAGUUGAUUUUUUGGACGUGUGAAGGAUGCUCCUAAGAGAUUAGUUGUGAGCUAAGUUAUAACAGGAUACCUUCCAAGUUUGAUUCUUUAGCAGUUUCUACCCUUUGUUCCACCAACCAUGAUUACACUUUCAUCUUGGCAAUGACGUAUUUCAUGGAGUAAGAUACAAAAAAGUGCAUGAACUAAAGAAUUGUUGUUUUCCAUAUGGAAAAUUUUCUUUACAAAUGUACUACCAUGAUCAACUCUCUAAUUCUCUAUUGAGUUAACAUCUUUCUUGAGCCGAAAAACAUCCCCCGAGUAUUAGCAGAAGUUGUACCAUCACAGAUGAGAAUAAUGUUAUUUCAAGUAAGCAUUUUUGACUCAACACCAAACAACAUUCACAUUCUGACACAUAAUUUGUCAAUGGUUCACAUUUUGGCACUGGCUCUAUCAACAAAUAUCAGAAGAAAGAUCAUUCAAAGGAUGAAAGUCAUUAUUCCUAAAAUAUUGGCAGUAACAAUAAUCUUCCAUUGCAACCUUCUCCGACCGCACAUGUUUUUCCGGUAUAAUUUUAGCCAACCAGAGCACAUGUUUCUCCAAUUUGACAAAAGGGUGAAGAUUUAAAUAUGAAUGAGUGUGUUUGUACAAGUUAUUCAUUUCCAUUUUUCUGCAGUAUCUUAGGUACUUAGCAGUUAG